rnacentral:rRNA from 1 species
UACGUAGGGGGCAAGCGUUGUCCGGAAUCAUUGGGCGUAAAGCGCGCGUAGGCGGCCCGGUAAGUCCGUUGUGAAAGUCAAAGGCUCAACCUUUGAACGCCGAUGGAUACUGCCGGGCUAGAGUCCGGAAGAGGCGAGUGGAAUUCCUGGUGUAGCGGUGGAAUGCGCAGAUAUCAGGAAGAACACCAAUGGCGAAAGCAGCUUUCUGGGACGGUACUGACGCUGAGACGCGAAAGCGUGGGGAGCGAACAGG